rnacentral:rRNA from 1 species
GUCCACGCCCUAAACGAUGCCGACUAGCUGUUUCGAGUAUCGACCCUCGGAGUGGCGUAGCUAACGCGUUAAGUCGGCCGCCUGGGAAGUACGAUCGCAAGAUUAAAACUCAAAGGAAUAGACGGGGACUCGCACAAGCGGUGGAGCAUGUGGUUCAAUUCGACACAAACGAAAACCUUACCAAGGCUUGAAAUGUACGUGACGACAGGUGGAAACAUCUGUCUUCCCUUAAAAGACACGUGCACAGGUGCUGCAUGGUUGUCGU